rnacentral:rRNA from 1 species
GACGAACGCUGGCGGCGUGCUUAACACAUGCAAGUCGAACGAGGUGGCCCAAAGAAGAUUGAGUGCUUGCACAAGAUUGGACUUGGAUUACCACCUAGUGGCGGGCGGGUGAGUAACACGUAGGUGACCUGCCUUUGAGUUUGGGAUAACUAUUAGAAAUGAUAGCUAAUACCGGAUUAAAUGCAGAUUCGUUUCUGUAUUAAAAGGAGCCUUUAAAGCUUCGCUUAAAGACGGGCCUGCGGCGUAUUAGCUAGUUGGUGAGGUAAUGGCUUACCAAGGCGACGAUGCGUAGCCGAACUGAGAGGUUGAUCGGCCACAUUGGGACUGAGACACGGCCCAAAACUCCUACGGGAGACAGCAGUUAGGAAUAUUCGUCAAUGGGGGAAACCCUGAACGAGCAAUGCCGCGUGAACGAUGAAGGCCCUAUGGGUUGUAAAGUUCUGUUGCAUGGGACGAACGAUUAGGAUAGGAAAUGAUCUUAAUGUGACGGUACCAUGCCAGAAAGCUCCGG